rnacentral:lncRNA from 1 species
AACCACCUUCAGUCUUCCACAGAGACAGCAACAAGGAAGCAUGUCAGUGGCUCCCCAUUAUCAAAGCCCUGCAGGCCCCAGGCUACAAAGCAAAGUCUUACUGUUAAGAGAGCUUUAAUGGCACAAUAUAAGGCUGACUUCACACCUACUUCUGAGGACAUUAUAGCUCAGUUCUUGAGAUCAGUCAAAACGGCAGGCAAAGGAAACGACCUGCGCAGCAGCAUUCAAGCUGGCUGCAAUCAGGGUAAGAUUGCAGCCGUCAAGGCACGAGGUGAUGAGAGUCUGACUGCAGGAUUUGACACAGGUUUGAGGCAAAGAUGACAACCAGGUURUGGGCUGAGUGACAAGCAAGCGAUGGCAUUGUCCAAGGAAGGAGCGGAAACCUAGGGAGCAGGAUUAGAGCCUACUUUGAGCUUGAGCUGACAGAUGAUAUCAGAGGCGUAUCCACAAGAUGAUAGCAGAGGCAGGGCAUGAAUUUAGUCAGAGCUGAAGGGAGCUGGCCUGGGACAAAGAGAGAGAUAUGUGAGCUGCCAGUGCAAAGAAGGUCCUUGAAUUUGCGUUGUGAGCUCGCUCGCUCUGCCGUGCAGGCAAGAGGGGGAAGGCGGAGAAGAGGGGCAAGGACAGAGACCCACAGAAUGAUGGGUGGGAGGCUGAGCAGCAAAAACUAGUCAGAAUAACACUGAUUAAAUGGUUAAAGUUGUUGGAGCCAGGUGGGAGCACAGGGAAAGGAGGGCUUGAUUUCAUGUGGAUUGGUACCAUCCAGUAAAUGUGUUGAAUUCUCAAGGAUUAACGCAUAUAGUGUUGCAGAGCCUCAUAGUACUGCAGCCCCAGCUAUAGAGAGCUUUUGGUGACUGAUGAUUAGGUGGUCAAAAAAUGGAUGCAAGUACUUUUUCCUCAUAGUCUGUGAGCUAAGGCAGAGACACUGGUAAUAUGCUCCACUCAUGUAUUAAACAGGGGUGUGUCCAUCUCAUGUUCCUGUUGUUCAGUGCAUCUCCCCUUCCAUUGCAGAUUGAGACAAAUGAGGCCUUAAGGGAGUGUUAACUGCUAUCCCUUUAUUUCCUCUUGCAGGUCCCACAAGUACUUAUGGGCUGUGUCUUGGUGGAUUCUAGUUCCCCUUAUUUAAGUUUUUAUUUUUCCCCAUGUAGGAGGGAUGAGGAGGCCCAAAAGAACUCCAGCAUCAUCUCCUCACUUCAAAAAGCUUUUCACAGCAAACCACUCUUCAUCAUGUGACUGCCCCCCCCCAAAGUAAGUAUAACAUUACUUUGCUGGGGUGGUUUUGGUGUGUGUGUCUGAAAGUCCGGUGCAUGACUUUCUGCCAGUCAUUUUUUUUUCCUCAUAAGUAAGAAAAAAGGUGGAAACCCCUAAUUGAAGUAUCUGCUAGAGAACUCUGAAGGGAUGUACAGGCCAGGUGUAUGAUCUUGUGCCAUAGAGAGGCUCUCAUACUGAUGCUUCAUGCCUUGGAAAGGAAAACUCACUUUUUUGUCCUCUUCAGUACAACAGAACUCCCAGGAUACAUGAUUUAAGGUUACUAAUUCAUCCUCUGAUACAGCACUGCAAGACUGUCUGAGUGUUGACUGCUGCUAACGGUUUUUCAAUGUGGAAGGUCAUGGAGCUAACCAUGCAAGUAAGUUGAGAGCUAGCCCCUCCUUCAUACAUGCCUCAGAGCAUACUUGUCACAUCCCAGAUGAAUGUGCAGUACUGCUACUUCCACCAGUAAACCUAGGUAGGUUAUUGGCCCCAUUUAUUGAAGAUGAUCUCUCCUAACUAUUCAGCCAUAAAUGUUUGCUUGCUGUCACAUUCUCUAUGUUAGAUGUUUGCAGACCUAUUGUAUCCACUGUUUGAGUAAGUUAUGUAAUUUAGAAGUGUAAAGUUACAUAGAAUUCAGUAUUAGAAGUUUUUUGUUUUGUUUUGAAGCCUAUUUUCAAUAAAUGGAUCUCACCUAAAAGAUGAUGAUUUAAU